CUGGGAUUAGAUACCCUGUUAUUUAAAAUGUAAUAUAUAAAACUAGAGUAGUAAUAGUUAUGAUCUUUAAACUUAAAAAAUUUGGCGGUAUUUUAGUCUUUUCAGAGGAACCUGUUUUGUAAUUGAUAAUCCACAUUGUACCUUACUAAAAUUUGUUUUUCAGUUUAUAUACCGUCGUUAUUUGGAAUAUUUUAUAAGAAUAAUAAUUUUCAAUAAUUUUUAUUAAAAUUAAUGUCAGAUCAAGGUGUAGCUAAUGUUUUAGAAAAUAAUGGGUUACAAUAAAAUUAUUUAUGCGAAUAUAAAUGUGAAAUAUUUAUUGAAGAUGGAUUUGAUAGUAAAAUUAUAAAGAUUAAUAAUUUGAUUUUAGCUCUAAAAUAUGUACAAAUCGCCCGUCACUCUCUGA
rnacentral:rRNA from 1 species